rnacentral:rRNA from 1 species
UACGUAGGGGCCUAGCGUUGUCCGGAAUUAUUGGGCGUAAAGAGCUCGUAGGCGGUUCGGCAAGUCUGAUGUGAAAUCUCCACGCUUAACGUGGAGGGGCCAUUCGAAACUGCUGUGACUCGAGUCCGGUAGGGGAGUGUGGAAUUCCCGGUGUAGCGGUGAAAUGCGCAGAUAUCGGGAGGAACACCAGUAGCGAAGGCGGCACUCUGGGCCGGUACUGACGCUGAGGAGCGAAAGCGUGGGGAGCGAACAGG